CCUACGGGUCGCAGCAGUGGGGAAUAUUGCACAAUGGGCGCAAGCCUGAUGCAGCCAUGCCGCGUGUAUGAAGAAGGCCUUCGGGUUGUAAAGUACUUUCAGCGGGGAGGAAGGUGUUGUGGUUAAUAACCGCAGCAAUUGACGUUACCCGCAGAAGAAGCACCGGCUAACUCCGUGCCAGCAGCCGCGGUAAUACGGAGGGUGCAAGCGUUAAUCGGAAUUACUGGGCGUAAAGCGCACGCAGGCGGUUUGUUAAGUCAGAUGUGAAAUCCCCGGGCUCAACCUGGGAACUGCAUUUGAAACUGGCAAGCUAGAGUCUCGUAGAGGGGGGUAGAAUUCCAGGUGUAGCGGUGAAAUGCGUAGAGAUCUGGAGGAAUACCGGUGGCGAAGGCGGCCCCCUGGACGAAGACUGGCGCUCAGGUGCGAAAGCGUGGGGAGCAAACAGGAUUAGAUACCCCCGUAGUC
rnacentral:rRNA from 1 species